rnacentral:lncRNA from 1 species
CAUACCACAUCUUCUUUUUUAUAUCAAUUGUUUACACUUAUACAUGUACAUAAUUUAUUUUUCAAUCCGAAAUAGGUAUCAUGCAUAUUAAAGUUUUUCUUGAUAUAAAGUUAAUCCAAUUGAUCCACAUCAAGGAGCGUGUGUCAUUCCUAUUCAUAAUAAUUAGGCAAUUAGUAAUGCAACCCAACGACUAAGAAAACCAAACGACAUGUAGGAGCUUUAUUCAGUCUUCAUCAAUAGACAAAAUAAAGAAGCACAG